CUGGGCAGUGGUGGGAAUGCUCGGAAUGUAUUCGGUUUUUAAAAAGCAGGAAGCAAAGCUUUGCGGUGGAUCCUGACUUCACUUGGGGGAAAAGGGCAGGUGAGCCUGGGAAAAUGAUCGAGCUAUAAGCCAAAGUGACACACUGGCAACUAUAUAUGUACUUUUUUUUUUUUUUUUUAAGACAGGGUCUCACUUUGUACCCCAGGCCAGAGUGUGGCAGCCUGUAACUCCUGGGCCCAAGCGAUCCUCUUCUCUCUCAGCCUCCCAAAGCACUGGAAUUACAGGUCCUGGCAGGAGCUCUGGUAUCUGGGAAGCUGGAUGGAGAGCCUGGAUUGGAGCCCACCCUCUGCAACCUAGCUUUGUGACCUUGGCAAAUCCAUUCUAUGCACCUCUGUUUCCUGUACAGUGGGGACCUGAUUUAUCUGGCAACCUCCACCAGAUUGGUAUUUUUUCUGUAAAGCCCAGUACCAUUUUAUUUGAUUUUAUUUUUAUUUAUUUAUUUAUUUAUUGAGACAGAGUUUCGCUCUUGUUACCCAGGCUGGAGUGAAAUGGCGCGAUCUCGGCUCACAGCAACCUCCGCCUCCUGGGUUCAGGCAAUUCUCCUCCCUCAGCCUCCUGAGUAGCUGGGACUACAGGCAUGUGCCACCAUGCCCAGCUAAUUUUUUGUAUUUUUAGUAGAGAUGGGGUUUCACCAUGUUGACCAGGAUGGUCUCAAUCUCUUGACCUCGUGAUCCACCUGCCUCGGCCUCCCAAAGUGCUGGGAUUACAGGUGUGAGCCACCGCGCCCAGCCUAUUUUUAUUUUUUGAGACAAAGUCUCAUUCUGUUGCCAGGCUGGAGUGCAAUAGAGUGAUCUCAGCUCACUGCAACCUCCACCUCCCAGGUUCAAGGCAUUCCCCUGCCUCAGCUUACUGAGUAGUGGGACUACAGACAUGCACCACCACCACAUCUGGCUAAUUUUUUUUGUAUUUUUAGUAGAUACAGGGUUUCACGAUGUUGUCCAGGCUGGUCUCGAACCUCUGACCUCAGGUGCUCCACCCACCUUGGCCUCCCAAAGUGCUGGGAUUACAGGCAUGAGUCACCACACCUGGCCCAUUUUACUUUGUUAAUUUAUUUUUUUUAGAUAGGGCCUCACUGUUGCCCAGGCUGGAAUGCAGUGUCGAGAUCAUAGCUCACUGCAGCCUCAAAUUCCUGGGCUCAGACUAUCCUCCUGCCUCAGGCUCUCGAGUCGCUGGGACUAUAAGCAUACACCACUGUCCCUGGCUCCAGUACUGUGUUUAAACAGUGCUCAGGCCGGGCACGGUGGCUCAUGCCUAUAAUCCCAGCACUUUGGGAGGCCGAGGCGGGUGGAUCACGAGGUCAAGAGAUUGAGACCAUCCUGGUCAACGAGGUCUCUACUAAAAAUACAAAAAUUAGCUGGGCAUAGUGGUGCACACCUGUAGUCCCAGCUACUCGGGAGGCUGAGGCAGGAGAGUUGCUUGAACCCAGAAGGCGGAGGUUGCGGUGAGCCGAGAUCGCGCCAUUGCACUCCAGCCUGGGUAACAAGAGCGAAACUCCAUCUCAAAAAAAAAAAAAAAAAAUGCAACAAUGCUCAGAAAACUUGCUAAAUUUGUUGGUUGGGAAUUGACAAGAGAUUUAAUGGGUUUUUUUUUUGUCUGUUUGUUUUUUGAGAUGGAGUUUUGCUCUUGUUGCCCAGGCUGGAGUGCAGUGGCGAAAUCUUGGCUCACCGCAACCCCGGAUUCCCAGGUUCAAGGCAUUCUCUCACCUCAGCCUCCUGAGUAGUUGGGAUUACAGGCAUGCACCACCAUGCCUGGCUAAUUUUGUAUUUUUAGUAGAGAUGGGAUUUCUCCACCUCGAUCAGGCUUG
rnacentral:lncRNA from 1 species